GGGGUGGAGCAGCCCGGUAGCUCGUCAGGCUCAUAACCUGAAGGUCACAGGUUCAAAUCCUGUCCCCGCAA
rnacentral:tRNA from 1 species